CAUCAACGUGCCGUAGAUAGUUUUAAGGACCUUGAGACAUAACCCAGUCGUACUAGCGGCAGUUAAGCAAUUGCUAACCAGGUGAGUCAUGAGGAAAGCUAUAGGAACUACUUGACAGUUGUGGAGUU